GGGCCGUGGGGGGGCCGUGCAGUUUGCGCUGCUCUUUGCAGCCGGGUUCGUGGGGGGAGGGAUGGGGCCGGCGGCCAAGCGUUGCUCGGGUAUGGAAAUGUAUGGCCCUGGCUGAAAAUACGGCGCACUGAUUGAUGCCCCGUCCCUGAGCCGUGUGCGUUUAUUUAUUCGCACCGGGCCUGCGGCGGGGCUGCGCUGCGAGGCCGCCGGUUGCUCUUCCCCGACGGUUUUCCUGCUGGGGACCCGGGGCCGUGGCAAUGGACAGAAAGAAAUGUGUCGACGAGCGCAACCGGCGCGGCUCCCGCUGCGGCUCGCUCCGCUCCGCGGGCGCUCGGAGCCAUCAGCGCGGGGCUCUGGACGGGUCUCGGAGCCGAAAUGCUCGGGGCUGCGAAGGAGGGGGACGGAGAGCUAUCCCUUAGCCCGGCGGGGGGAUGGCACGGUGCUACCGAUCGCCCCGAGGCCGGCUUUCCCGGAGCCGGAGCUGCCCCCGGUGCCACGGACCCAUCCCGUCGGCUGCCCUCAGUGCUUUCCUUCAUUCCAUUUUUUUUCUCCCCCUAUUUUCUUUGUUUUUAAUUUGUAUUCAAUUUGUUUUACAGCAAGGAAAUUAAAAAAGCGGAGGGGGUUGAGAAACAAAACAGAACAAAACAAGCCCUUUGCUGUUUGUCGUUCUCCUGCAGCGCGACGCUUUCGCUUUGCCGGGCCGGGGCUGCGCCGGUCCGUUCCGGGGCCGCUCCGGGGUGGGCUCAGUGCGCGCCCGGUCCCGGAAUGUCCCCUGCGUGGGGUCAGCCAGCAGCAGCCCCGCUGGGCCCAGAGCUCGGCCUGGCUUCAUUCGUGGGUUGCUUUCUUUAUUUUUGGCGUUUCUCCUCCAAUUUAAUGCCUUCUCGUCCUCCACCCGUGGGGAGGACGAGGACACCUCCUGCCGUGCUGCGUCCCGGUGCCUCUCCAGAGCCACAAAAGCAGCAGCGGUGGCUUUGGGGUGUGAGGAGACGUGCAUCUCCUUGGGACCCCCCCCCUCCCUGCUCCUGUCGGUGCUGAGCAGGCGAGGCCUCGUCGCCUUUGGCCCUCUGCUGUGCCUGCUUGGCUUAAAGGGAUGAUCACUUUGCACUUGGUGGCAGCCUCAUGAAUGGGAGGUGACAUUGAGGGGGCAGUGGUUGGUGGGGUACUCCCUGCCCUAAUCCUGCACCAGGGGUUGUGGCCCCGAUGAUGCAGGGAUGGGGCCGUCAUGGGGGCUGCGCUCGGUCCCCGUGGUGCUGCAGGUGCCUCUGCCGCAGGGGAUGGGGCUAUGGGACACCUCCUGCCCCAGCUCUGCGUUGGGGACUUCAGAGCUGGAGGUGGGUGAGGGGCUGUGGGGCCUUCACCCCAUAGCGAUGGAUUUGGAGCAUCCCAGAGGCCUCUUCCCAGGUGAGCUGCACUCCUGGAAGAAGUGCCUCAUCCUUCGCUAAAUAAACGGAGCCCCCGUAGGAUUUUUUGUUCCGAAAUUAACUCCUUAAUUAACUCCUUCAGGCCGCAAGCCUUCCUCGGCCAUGUACAGAAAGAACAAAACAAGUCCAGGAGAGGGACACAGCCUCAGAGCCACCACCAGUCCCAGCCUGGGGAUGGCUGCACGCACGGGGCCGUGUGUGCGCAUUCCCUGCCUCCAUGGGGCUAUCUUGUUUGCUAAUCUAACCUACUUUUGUUUUUAAUUCUUUUCUUUCUUUCUUUCUUUUUUUUUUUUUUGGUCAGAGGUCGGUGCUGUGCAGGGACCUGUUCUGCUCUCGGUGCAAUCUCAGAGCUUUUAGUGGGUGUCUGAUUUCUGUAGCGCGCUUCGGUUUCCAGUAUGAAUGUCACGCACGAAGAAUACCAUGACAGUGCUCGAGGUGCACGCGAUCUUAUCUACCUGACAUUUCAGGCUUUUUUAACCGUCCGUUCACCCAAUUUGCAUAGCAAUCACAUGGGCUGCUUCUCCCCUUUACCCCUCCCACCCCCCCCUUUUUUUUUCAUGUAUCAUCAUAACAAACUGCUUGCGUUUGGCCUCUGACAGCAUCAGUGCAAGCGUUGCUCAGAGCUCCCUCUCCCCUCUGAUGGUGUCUGGGGGGGUUCAGUGCUGCGCAGGGACAGCACUCCCAUCCCACUGACUGCUGGGGCACUGUGCUGAGUUUCACUUCCAAGCAAAGCACACCACCGUGCGUGCAUCCCAUCUGCUUCUCCUUAAUUGCCACGGGUGAGACUUAUUUAUACUGAUAAAGAGACUCCCACAGCACAGUCCCAGCUCCCUGCAGCCCCUCUGCCCGCACUCAGGACAACGCAGGGCUGCAAUUAACACAAGCCCUGCUCAGCUCUCGGCCAUGUGCCGGCUGCAGCCCUUGCACGGAACAAAAUGUUUCCCUUGGUGUCGGGGGAGGCAUUGGCUCUAGCAGGGGAGCGUGUGAAUGGCAGGGAGUGGGGCAUCGUGGGGUGCAUUGUGGCUCUUUUUUUUGUUGUUUUCUUCUUUUUUUUUUUUAUUGUUGUGUUUUGAUUUAAUUGGAGCAUUUGCGAUCUGGCUUGGUUCUACUGCAAGCAAAGGGCUGGAAGUGGAAAAGCUGGAAUGUGGCUGUUCCAGCACACCCCAGGCACACCUGAGCUGUAUCUCCUGCCCAACCCCGUGCUCCUGCCACCACCCCUACUGCCCCCAGCCUCAUUUCAUUGACCCCAUCACACACCAUGCAGAACGCUCAGUGCUCAGUGCUGGGCCUGCAGCAGGAAGGAGGGCACUAUGGAGGGACAGUGGGAUGGAGGGAUGGGCAGCAGUGGGGGUGUCCCGCGGUGCCCCCUGGCUAUGUGCGAUAGCAUCACUGCCUGAGAGCUGCUGCUGAUGUGCCGCGUGCUCCGACUGGAGCAAUAAGCAUUACUCGGAUGGAUUUCCUGCAAAAAGCCCUUCCUGAUCUUCCUGGUCCCACUGUACUCGGAUUAAGACCCAGGAUAUAUCCCUGUGCAGUUGCCCAAAUUAUUGGUCUAUCUCUCCGUGCCCUGAGACAGUGCAAACUUGCUGUCAGAAAUGACCUACGUCGCUCGCUGCCUGCCCCAUCUUGCUGGCACUGGGGACGAGGCCCUGCAAGCAUCUCUCCCACAGGGAGAGAGGGGGUAUGCAGCGCAGCACAGCACCCACGGCUCUGCCCCACUGUGAUUUCAGUGGGGUUGGAUGGAAGCAGCCCCGAUCUCACCAGGCUCCCAGCCAGGGGAUCCCCAUCCGUUUUUAACCAGCUACAGACCGGAGUCUGACAUCACCUCGAUGGGGCUGUGCGGGUCCAGAGCCUUUGUGCGCCCAGUGGUGGCACCCCCACGUUCCCAUCCCACCCUAUGUCCCCACCAUACUCAUUCACCCAAUUUACCCCACCUUUUGCCAUUGUGGAACCUUUGGAAAUCUUCAGUGCUGGGACGCCGACUGCUCCUGGUGCUGCAGAUCCAACAGCUAUCAGCUGUUGAGGUUCGAACCCUUCCCUAACCCCACAGAUACCUCCUCAUUUGCUCAGGGUUACCUAAUACAAAAAAGGUUGAUCUGAGGAAAAAAAAAAAAAAAAAAGAGAGAGAAUAAAGGCUGUGGUUGGUUAACAGCAUUAUUUCUUUCUCGUUCAAGAAACUCUCGGAUCCCCAGUAUCAAAAAGCAGAAGACUUGGGAAAAAGGGUGCCCUGAAGUUGUGCAGGGAGUGUGAGUGGGAACCGAAGAGGGGAAUUGGGGUUGAUUGUCUGCCUGCAGGCUGCCGUGUGCAGGCCGGGCUCAGGGCUGUUGCAGCUCCUCGCACCUCUCAGCCCAUCGGGUGCUGCGGGAAUCCCAAUUUCUCUCUCCCAAUAAAGCACGGGCGUCACUUUUAUACCCUGCACGUUUUCCUGCGGUGAGGUGCUUUGAUUUAAACACCGAGGAUAUGGGGGCCGGGUGGGAGAGCCUCCAGAAGUGAUGGUGAAAGCGGCCGUUAUUCGUCCUGCUGCCUCCCGAAAUCUCUAUUCCUCCUCACCAUCCCUCCAAGCCCGGCUGGCAAUAGCACGCUGCCUCUGACAGGAGCUCAAUUCAAUGCACUGCCAACAAAAUAUGGUAUCUUUUUUUUCUUCAUCCCAGUAGUGAGAGCGUUAAAUAAUAGAUCUCGGGCUUUAUAGGCUGCAUUUAGGUAUGACUACGAAUAGCUACAAUAAAAAGCAGCAGAAUAUUCAUGUGAAGGGGGGGGGGUCGGUCUGAUAAUUUUUUUCUCCUCGUCCUUUCUUAUUUUUUUCUUUUCUUUUUUUUUUUUUUCCCUAUUUAAGUUUCAGUUUUAGGGCUGAAGAAGAAUCAGAUUUUCUCAUUCCUUUUCUGUUGCCGUCGGACGCCGAGAAUAAUCUCGGCUAUUUUCUGAGACCGACAUUCCUAUGGGACUUCUCCUUGUUUUCAAUAAUUAAAUAUUAAAGGAGUGGGAAGCAGGCAGAUUGUGCGAUACGGACACCAACUGAUCAGGGUAUUUAUUUGCAUAGGCACUUUUCAUCUCCGAGUGUUCGCGAGUGAAGCCAAACCAUGCAGCUCUGCUCUCGGGGCUGCAAUUACCAACACUGUGCACACGGAAAGCGAAGCUAGAGCAGCACCAGCCAUAGCCGGUCGCUUGGGGAACACGUCCUGCGAGACAAGUGCAUGUCCCUGUGAUGUAGCGAGCUGGGGAGGUGCUCCCCUCCAAGGGCACAAAGCAUGGAUGAAGCUGCCUGUGCUACAGCUCCUUGACCUUGGUGUUAGAACCAAUGGUUUCGUGCUGUUCACCUUCCGAGCCCUCCUGGUGCCUGGGCACUAAGAGCCCAUGGAAUGAGGAUGGCUCCUCAGUGGUGAAGAACAGGAGGACCAGGUGGGCCAAUGGCUUGGUCAACACAGCUCUGGGCCGACAUAUCCUUUUGGAAGCUGCCAACUUGCCAGCAUGGCUUCUGGUUUCUGACUGCCCACUGCAGGACUUCUUUGCACACAUGGUUGUUGCGCUUCUUCCAUGUGUGCAUUGAACCUCCUGCCCCCCGCCAGCUUAGGCCAACUCUCUGCCAGAACAUAGAAUGAUGGAAUCAUUCAGGUUGGAAAGACUGAUAAGAUCAUCUAGUCCGACCAUCAGCUCGUGUGUGUGACUGCUGUACACCAUGCCACUCAGUGCCACACCUCCAUGGUUCUUGAACAUCUCCAGGGAUGGUGACCCCCCACCUCCCUGGGCAGCUGUGCCACUGCAUCACCACUCUGAGAAGAAAUUUUUCCUACAGCACUGAAUGCUGUGAUUCAUAAGGGCUCUCCCAUUCUGCUUCUCCCCCUAGGAGGCUCGUGCUGUAUUAUCCAGCAUCUAAAGCUAAGUGG
ensembl:lncRNA